GUCCCUGUAGCGCAAUGGAUAGUGCGUUGAACUUCUAAUCCAAGUAUCGUGGGUUCGAAUCCCACUUGAGAUA